GCAAGCUAGGCUGAGAGCGCGCGCACGAAGAAGGCGGCGGUUGAAGAAAAAGGGGCGGGGCGUCGAGCCGAGGGCGCGCGACGCCUCCUUGCCUUGCCUUCCUUUCCUCCGUUGAAGGGCGGGAUUAGCACAUAAUGGCGGCGCCGAGCAGCGUGACCCGCCUACGUUGGGGAGUUAACUCACUUUCACACCGCUUGAGCUGCCUUGGUUCAAUGCUUAUGAAAGCCUGGGAACCGUAGUUCGGGUCCUUGGGUAGUUGAUGCCAGAUAGAAAACACAGCAGGGAUCAACAUGCACUAUAUAAGAAUAACCUAAAGGGCAAAUAAUUAUUCUAAUGAACCCAGAUUGCUUAAACGCUCAAGAUGCACAAGACAAGAUGGAAAAACCCAAUGGAUCUAGCUAAGGAGGAAUAAAAAUGUUCAUGCUUUUGAAUGUGCUAUGAAGUUGAAAUUCACUGUGACAUACAAUUCUAGCUGAAAGUGAGGUGGUUUUGUUUUAAGUUCUUGUGAUUGCAUUUCUUUGCCAGUUUUACUGUCUUAUUGGGCUUUACAAGUUGAGACUAGAUAUGAAUCACUUUCUUUUCCCAGUUAAUCCCACAUGGAACAGGCCCAGCUCCAUGCCCUACCACUGACAAAAGUAUGCUUGGUGUUCGUGUUGAAGAGGGCUUUCUUUGUUAUUCCCAGUUCAACACUUGCCCAGAUGAGCAACUGAUAAUAUUCCACUACAGUGGAGUCUCACUUAUUCAACAUUAACUUAUCCAAACAUUCUGGAUUAUCCAACACUGUCUGCCUUUUAGUAGUCAGUGUUUUUGUAGUCAAUAUUUUCAAUACAUUACGAUGUUUUGGUGCUACAUUUGUAAAUACAGUAAUUACUACAUAACGUUAAUGUGUAUUGAACUGCUUUUUUUGUCGAUUUGUUGUUAAACAUGAUUUUUGGUGCUUAAUUUGUAAAAUCAUAACGUAAUUUGGUGUUUAAUAGGCUUUUCCUUAAUUCCUCCUUAUUAUCCAACAUUUUUGCUUAUCCAACAUUCUGCCGGCCCUUUUAUGUUGGAUAAAUGAGACUCUAUUGUACUUUUGAUGACAUUAUGGGUUUAUUAUACAGAAAAUAUAUCUAGUGAUGCUAUUGGUAGUAGUUUUUUAAUAUUCUGGUGGAGGAAAUAAACUCUCUGUGAACCCAUUUUCAUGUAACCAGACUACCACCAACUCUGCACAAGGUGGACAUAUCAGCAAGUUGUGUAAACUUUAGUGCCUGAAGUUGUAAGGUUGUUUAAGGUAACGAACACAAUGGGAGCAUCCCAAAAUCAGCUUAAUGAGGAAACAUGGAUGAAGUUUCUCACCUUUACAUUUCUCAGGCCCAAUAAAAUGCAUUGAUCUACUCAUUCUUCAACUUGUUUCCUGAAUUUGAAACAUUUCUUGCUUUAUUUUCAUAUUCAAGGAAAAGUUGUUUACCAGUUUUAAGAUGUGCGUUUGCUUAAAAACAAGCAUUAAAGUUACUAAAAAUA